AAGACGUUGUCAUGGUGGUCUGGGCUGGAUAGAAAAGAUAGAAAAAGUGAACAACUCCAACCUGAUAUCAAAUUGGUCUGGCACGCCGUUAGCCGACAUCUCAGGUCUGGCCACCGUAUUCGCCUGAUGCCUUUUGUUCUUGUGGCGCUUGGAAGAACUCGUUUGCCACGAGUCAUAUGUUGGAAUGGAUGGCAGUGUUGCGAUGUUCUGAGCGGUGCACCAAUCCGGAAUGUCCAACUUAGGUGUUCCAAGGACUUCACAGACCCUAGAUUCUUUUAUAUAGAAGAUAUAAGAAGAGCAGCAAGGAAAAGUUAUGAUGUGGCAGAAGUAAUUCAUUAUGGUGGUCUGGUCCGAAUGGAGAAGAUGAGGAAAGAGAACAUCUACCUCAGAGAAGACACCACUGGACGUAAGAGAUAUGUGGU